rnacentral:miRNA from 1 species
UGUGGGGUUGGCCAAAAAGUUUGUUUGGAUUUUUAAUCACAUCUUACAGAAAAACCCAAACAAGCUUUUUUGCCAACCCAAUA